rnacentral:rRNA from 1 species
UACGUAGGGUGCAAGCGUUGUCCGGAAUUAUUGGGCGUAAAGAGCUCGUAGGCGGUCUGUCGCGUCUGCUGUGAAAAUCAGGGCUCAACCCUGGACCUGCAGUGGGUACGGGCAGACUAGAGUGCGGUAGGGGAGAUCGGAAUUCCUGGUGUAGCGGUGAAAUGCGCAGAUAUCAGGAGGAACACCGGUGGCGAAGGCGGAUCUCUGGGCCGUAACUGACGCUGGAGGAGCGAAAGCAUGGGGAGCGAACAGGA